GGCGGGGCCGCACAGACCGACGGGAGAGACGCGCGUGGGCGGGUCGCGAGGGGACUGUGACGUCAUCCGCAUGGAGGGUGUUUGUUGCGCCGCCUCCGGCUCCGGAACUAUGGGUAGUCCCGCCCACUUCCCCCUCAUACCCAAAGAACGGAGCAUUGGGCAGGUUGAUCGGCACCCACCCCAGCCGUCAAUUCAUUGGCCAAAGUUGCCCGCCACUCAUCAAAGCCUCGCCCCAAUCGGCAGAGGACUGGUUCCUCCAGUUCUCCCCCGCCCCCCAGCCUCUCUUCAGUGACUCAGCAGAGGGAGGACAGCGUCGCCGUAUCCUCGGAGAUCUUUCGCCUUACACUGGGGCCGGAAGUCAGGCAUGAGCCGGAAGCAGCUGAUGAGGGCUCGCGGGAAACGACCGUUUGGCCCCGCCCUUUAGCGCACGCCUUCGCUCCCGGCUUCAUUUGGCGCGGAGUGCCCACGUGGGCCUGGGGGGGGGGGGGGGGUGGAGAAACCAACUUUCCCGGAAAGGCACGGGGAGGGAAAAGUGGGGCUAGUGAGUGGGCUUGAGGCUGUUGGCAGAAAAACAAAGGAUUCCUGCCCCACAUAUACUGUCUCCUAUCUCCAGAUCUUUGCCCAGGCUAUCCUCUUGGUCCAGAAUGCACUGCUUCCCCGCCCAGAUUUGUACACUGAUCCUAAGGACCACGUUGGAGAGGGAGGAUAUGCGAAAGGCUCUCAUUUCUGUCUUGAUACCCCAGCCCCCAACCCCCAGCCCAGGAGACACACACAAAUGCCAGCUGAUUGAUUAGCAAAGAAGCCAAGGAGAAGGGAGGGCUCAGGCUACUUCGGAGCCCCCUAGGCACCCGCAGCAACUAUCUUUUGCCUCCCCUGCCCCCAGCACCACCUUCUUCCCAACAAAUUCUCAACACCAGAUGAAGGACAUCAAGAACAAGAGUUAAACUGCCGAAGAGGUUCAGCGGGAAGAAAGAAGACCAAGUCCUCCUGUCUCUGCCCCCAGGCCCAAUGACCCUGAAUUCUGAACCUCCGUCUAGUGUGUUCAAGGGAACAUAUUCCAGAGGAAGUCGGGGGAUUCAUGUGAAGUACAGAGGAAACCGAAGAACCCCCCCCCCCCCAAAGGGCAGCAGAAGUUACAACACCGACAUGUGGAAGUAGACAGGCAAUGGACGUGCUGGCAGUUGUUUGUGUGGGGCUGAAUGCAGCUAGGAAGAGCCUCUUCCUGAACCCCAGAACCAAGACCUUCCCAAGAAGGGCUGAGAUGGUCCAAAAUGGGAGUUCUGUGGACACUCCCUGUUUGGGCUUCUUUACUGUCCAAAUAUCACCCACUCCCAAGCCUUUGGCAAUUUUGCAAAACUACUUAACCCUCUUCUGUUGCUCCUCUCAAACACUCUAGUGUUGUUUAUCCCACUUUUCCCAAACCCAGGUUUUCGUUUAAAUCCUUAUUUUGUUACCCCCAUUUUUCCCUCCACUUGGUUUACUUUUAAGUCCUUAUUUUCUAUCAUAGUAUCAGUUCUAAGGCAGAAAAGUAGCCAGGGCUAGGCAAUGGGGUCACACAGCUAGGAGGUGUCUGAGGUCAAAUUUGAACCCAGGCCAUUUCAUCUCCAGAUCUGGUGUUAUAUCCACUGUACUCCCUAGCUUUAGAACUGUGUUUUUAAACCCUGCACCUCUUAGACCCUUCUGUACCCACUGUUUAGUGUUCCUAGAUUGCACUCAGCCCAACUGGAUAAAAGAAGACUCUUCUUUUUGCUACUUUGAUAGUCUUCCUUAUUUCAAUUUGACAUGUCUGGCAUCAGAUGUGGGAUUAAAAAUUCCUUCCAGCUACCUGCCAUUUUCAACCUCAGAAAUCCAGUACUAAGAACCCUCUGUGUUCCAGUAGAGAUUCAGCUUGGUUUGGCAUGUAAGUCUCUCAAAUUUCUGAGCUCCCAUACGUUUUUGGUUGUGUUCCUAGCUCUUUAAAGGUUUAAUAAAGACUCCUGGGCAAUUUUAAGUCCAUUCUGAGAGAUGCCCCCUAAAGGAAAUGCUGCCAGACUUUUAUAUAUUUUUAUGGAGUGUUAUUUGUGUUGUCUGCUAUGUAGUAUGUGUGUGUGACACAGAGAGAAAGAGAGAGAGAGAGAGAGAGAGAGAGAGAGAGAGAGAGAGAGAGAGAGAGAGAGAGAGAUAGCACAGCCUCUGGAGACUAAAGGAAUGUACCAACCACUGUCUCACAGUGUGUAAUUCUCCUCAUUGGAGCUUAGAAGGAAAACACUUUGCUUAGUUUCAAAUUAUGGACAUACUUGCCAGUACAUGGAUUAUUGGCAGAAUUUAACUAAGUCUGACCUCUGAAACUAUUGAACACAGUAAAUUUUCUUUGAUUGCAAUAAAAUUAACUUUUUGUGGUUUACUUGGAAUCAAUAUUGUCAUUGUUCCAAGGCAGAAGAGUGGUAAGGCUAGGUAAUUGGGUUUAAGUGAUUUACCCAGGGUUAAAGAACUAGGAAGUAUCUGAGGCCACAUUUGAAUCCAGGACCUCUCAUCUUCAGGCCUAGCUUUCUAUCUACUGAUCCACCUAGCUGCCCCUGUGGUUUACUCUUGAUUCUGUUGACCCUAAGACUGAGGACCCACUGGCUCUUUGAAACAAUCAAAAGGAAUAAUAAAGUGGAGGAAUUCCAUGGUGACUGGAACAACCUCCAGGACAUGAUGCAAAGCGAAAGGAGCAGAACCAGGAAAACAUUGUACACAGAGACUGACACACUGUGGUACAAGAGAACAUAAUGGACUUCUCCAUUAGUGUCAAUACAAUGUCCCUGAACAUUCUGCAGGGAUCCAGGAGAAAAAAACACUAUCCACAAGCAAAGAACAAAUGGUGGGAGUAAAAACACUGAAGAGAAGCAACUGCUUGACUACAGGAGUGGAAGGGACAGGAAUGAGGAGAGACUCUAAAUGAACACCCUAAUACAAAUACCAACAACAUGGAAAUGGGAUUGAAGCAAGGACUCAUGUGAUACCUAGUGGAAUCAUGCGUUGGCUAGGGGAGGGGAGGGGGGGAGGGGGGAGGACAAGAAAAGGAUCUUUGUUUCCAAGGAAUAUUGUUUGAAAAUAACCAAGUAAAAUAAUGUUUAAAAAAAAAAGAAACAAUCAAGCAGGGAUCUAGAUCUAAAUCUAAAUUCUCCUCCCUUCAAGAGAGAAUAUCCAACAAUUAAAAUAAUUAUUUUUUUAAAAGGUGGGGAGGCUGAGAAUAAGGUCUAUGUCAGUGAUGGCAAACCUUUUAGAGAUGGAGUGCUGCCCUCCCCCACAGGCCAUGCCCCAACCUUGUACCCCACAAAGGGGAGGGAGGAAGCACUUCUAUUGGGCUGAUGGGCAAAGGUGGGCCGAGGUGAGGAAUGUCCUCAGCAAGUAGAGAAGGGUAAGGGAGUGACCCAAGCUCUCUGUGUUAUGUAGUAAGACCCUAACAUCUGUUCCCCUCCAGCUCUGCCACGGGUGAGCCACCCACCUUACCCCCUGUACAAUCCUAUUGGGUUUCUGGGCAAAGGGGUGGGUGAGAUGAAAAAAAAAAUGUCAUCAGGCACUGUGGAGACAAGGAGGGGAGCAGCUCCACCAAGUCCCUCUGCCUUUCUAGUAAUGAAUGGGAAGAGGUGGGGGGCCAAGUGUCACAGAGCUGUCUUUGGCACCCAAUCCAUAGGUUUGCCAUCACUGGUCUUUGUCCUUCAGGAGAAGGACUCCAAAUUAAAGAAGGAAAAAGAAGAAAGCAAAAGGCAGUUUUAAGAUUUACAGACAGUGGAAUUGCUUCUCAGUUCUGAGACUGAGGAGGGAAGAGGGGAGGGAAAGAAAUCAUGUAAACAUGGGAAAAUAUAUUUAAAAUAGAGCUAAAGAUUUACACAGAUGUGGAAGAAUUUGAGGAGGCCCUGAGGGAUACUCUUUCAAGGCUGGCCUCUUCAAAAAGUCUCUCCUCUGAAAAAAGAAAGUAACUAUGAAGACUAAUUCUGGGGAGUCCAACUAGGUAACCCAACCAACAAAGGUGUUCUACACAGUGAUGAGGAAUCUCUGAACAGAAAAAGGACUUCCAGGCCCUACUAUAGCACCACAAGCUGUGGCUUAAUUUUGGUAUAUAUAAACCUUUCAUGUGUGCUUCAUUGCCAUUGCUUUCUAAAUUUAAAUUCAUUCUUCUCAUGGGUACUGAGUAUGACCUAAAUGUGUGUGGGGAUAUUUUGUACCAUUCUUACUCAUUUUAAACACUUUUGAUAGGAGCUAAUUAUUAAAGAAAAAAAAAACAACUCUCCUCUGCCCUUGGACCUUCACCCUCUGGAUGCUGGGCCCAAUUCACAGGGUGGCAAGAUGUUCUUCUAUUGUUGGGAGUGAAGCCACUGGGGAGGGAUUGCUUCCAAUACCAACUUUCCUCUGAGAAGAGUCUCAGGGCAAAAUAAAACAACUGACCUGAUUCAAAUUGACAGGGCUCCAAGGAUACAGAGGGGGGGUUUUGCCCUAGUGACUGCAUCUCCAGUAGGAGCCAUUCACAUUGUAGUAGCUUCUCACGCUAUUGGCACCAUGCUAAUCUGUCCUAAAUCCCCCUGAUUUUCCUGAUCCUCUCAAAGUUCUAGAGUGCUUUCAACCGUGUAAGGUCUGUCUGUAUUUCCCACCCCCUUCCCUUUAUCCUCAAGGGUUUAUCCAUUUCACCUCUGGAGACAAGUGGAAAGGACCAAACUAAGUGGCAGCUUGCUUGUACAAAAGGCUAAAUUUGUGUGACCCUGGGCAAGUCACUUGACCCCCAUGGCCUAGCCCUUACCACUCUUCUGCCUUGGAGCCAAUACACAGUAUUGACUCCAAGACGGAAGGUAAGGGUUUAAAAAAAAAGGCUAAAUUUGAAGAUGCUUAUUUUAAGUGGGAUGAUUGGGGUAGAUUUAAACCUCAUAUCAGGCUGCUACUUUUAACAUCUCUGGCAGUGGAUUAAUUAGAAAUAGGGCGUCCCAUAAUUGGGAAUACUUUGAAUAAUUGGUCCUGGUGACAAAUUCUAAAUGGAGAUCUUUUGUGAUUCCAUUUGGGAUGUUUGAGUCUUGCUCUUUGGCCAUGAUAUCAGCUCUGCUACCAAUACAGCAUAAGGUUUUGUAGUGCAAUUAAUAGUGCAAUUAAUAGCAAACACUCUAAACCUCUAGAAGCCAAUAUUCUUUUGGAGCUUUGGCAGGCAGCUAUCCUGUGAACUUAAAAAGUGCCUUUCCACACCCAUACCUAACCAUACUGGCUUUUUUAAGAGCAGAGGGGAAGGGUGGCUCCAGGCAUUUUGACCCAGUUCUUUAGCUCCUCCACCCAUCCCUACCCUUACUGUGCGGCUGCUUCAAGGCUUUCCCAUAUCUGGUGAAACUCCAGAAUACAGUUGCUAAGGAAAUGAGAUCACCCCUUGACAAAGUUUAUAGCACUGUGGAAGUUUAUAGGACUGUUGUGAUUACGAAAUUAUACUAGGAAUAGCCUGUGCUGAAAUUUCAAAAUUCCUUUUUGAAUUGAUAUGUGUUUGAAAUUGAAAAUUUUGCAAUAAAUUAUGAGACUCCUUGAUAAAUUUUGUAUUUGAAUUUUUGAGAAGUAUUUUGCUUCUUGCCCCAAAGAAGAAAGAAGCUUAUUUAAGAAAAUAACUUGACAGACACUUCCCAGCUGUGAGACCCUGGGAAAGUCACUUGACCCCCAUUGCCUAGCCCUUACCAUUGUUCUGCCUUGGAGCCAAUCCAUAGUAUUGACUCCAAGAUGGAAGGUGAGGGUUUAAAAAAAAAAGAAAGUAACUUGAAAUGUACUUUAUAUUGACUAAUUUAAUAUUAUUUUUAAACCCUUACUUUGAUCUUAGAAUCAAUACUGUAUAUUGCUUCUAAGGCAGAAGAGUGGCAAGAGCUAGGUCAUGGGGGUUAAGUGACCUGCUCAGGGUCACACAGCCAGAAAAUAAAAGUCAAAUUUGAAUCCAGGACCUCCUAAAGUCUCUAGGCCUGAUUCUCAAUCCACCAAGUCAGCUAGCUGCCCCCUCCUUAUGUUUAUUUAGAAAAAUGCUUUAUGUUACUUAACUAAUAUACUAGAACUUAAUUGUUAUUUUAACCCACCAGGUUUUGGUAAGCUGUUAAAGAGUUUUAUAAUUACUGAAAACAUCUAGAAGGAUUUUUGGUGCUUCCAUCUUUUAGAGAAUAACAGAAUUGGAAAUAAUUCAGUACAGUUUAACUAUUAUAGAUAUUUAUCGACAACAUCUUACAACUACGAAUCACCUUUAUUUCUAGAUCUUGAUGAAGAACAUCAGGAUUCACCUGAUCAAACAAAGACAUGCCUUAGAAGUAACCCUGCAGAGGAUGUUCCUGCACAAGAUGAGUUUCAGACUAGCCUUGCAUUGUCUCAGAGCCCUGGUAAAACCUCCAAAGGCUUUCUCUUCCAUGGGUUAUUGUCGUCCUGUCCCAACCUACCCUCCAAGCUGCUAUGAACAUCUGUUGCAAGGCAGAAGUUUCUCCCUUGUUGCCCAGACCCAGAGACCCCCUCCCAUCUUUUGGGGAAUACUAUAAAACCUGUAACUUCCUCCUCCUCCUCCUCCUCCUCCCCAGACUUGGUUCUAUUCCAACCCUGGGAUGUGUGUCCUAUUUUCUCCUCCAGGAAAUAAACCAUUUUGCUGAGCAUUGUGCUCUCUGGUUUUUAAGGGUCAGCAAUGCUCACAGAAAAAGGAGAAAUUCAAGAAACUAAAGAUUAGAGAACAAGAACUAGGCGGAAAUAUUAUUGGAAUAAAGAGAAUUUAUGAAAUGAACAAAAUAAAAGGAAAGUUAAGGGAAGAAUCUGUAGGAAGCAAGGAAGUUUCAGGGAAUGACUGAACAACAUGGUGGUGGUAUGUGUAAUGUUGGAAUUCUAUGGAGCCAUAAGAAAUGGGAUGAAUGAGAUGAUUUCAGGAAAACUUGGAAGCACUUACAUGAACUGAUGAAAAGUGAAGCGAGCAGAACCAGGAGAACAUCUGUAGGUGGUAACAGAAACAGCAGUGAAGGACUAAACAAUUAUCAGCAAUUCCAAGACAACCCUGUGGUUGAAAAGUGCUCGCCACAGCGGUAGAAGGAACUUCGGCUGACAAACGCAGAUUAGACACUCAUUUCUUGCCUUAUUUCCUUCAUAAUUUUUUUUCUUACGUGUGAUAUAUGUCGUGGGGAAUAGAGAGAGUCUGGACUCCUCCCAGGGAAGUGCAUCUGAAGGAGGUGAUGAGCCAAGUUUUGUUUUCCCCAAAGGGGCACCUAGCAACUGAAACUGCAGAUCAGGAACCCCCUCCUCCUCCUCAGUUUGGUUGAAGAAAACAUUAUAGUGUACAGAUAAAUAGGAUUAGAAAUGUGCUCUGCCCUGAUGGGCUGGGACCAAUAUCUAGUAUAAUUAGGUCUUGUCAGGGACCAGGAUAAAAGAAGGCUGGCUGCCUGCUCCCACACCUUGUCCUUGCCUGCUGGCUGUCACACUUGUAACACCAGCUCCAGCACCCAUCCUCACAAGGAUGAAAUCAAAGAGCCCUUGACACACUGACACUGAGUUCUAGUUCAGGAUUCUUUUGAGUAGGUGGGCAUUCCUCUCCUAAGUCUUCUUUCGCAACAGGAAGAAUAAGAAAAUGAGUAUUGCACCACAACAUUGGAACGAACGACCUGUAUAUCAGAUGGUUUGGCCCCUGGGUUGGAAGGAGGGAGAGAAUUUGGAUGGCAAAAGCUCAGAAAGCAAUGGUUAAGAAAAAUUGUUUCUACAUUAACCACCCAGCAUGUAAAGACUGCUUCAGCCGAACAGGAGGAAGAAAGCAAUAAGAAGGUUCAACGGCUGAGAGGGCGACGCAGCAAGGCACUGUGGAGUGCUUAGGGCGUGAUGGAGCACAAAAGACCACAGGGCCAUCCAAUGCAGCUGAGGAAGUCUCCAGGUGUAACGACUUUUCGUGCCACUGGACCCAGGCUUCCAACGCCGAGAGAGUGGGAUCUGUCUCUGUGCACCGACUUUUCCACUUAAAUCUUCAUGCACAGGUGUCUUUGUGCACACUCAUCUAUCAUAGAUGAAAACGCACAAAGACAAUCGUCAUCCUCAGUUACCGAGAGACUACUACUAGUAAACAAGGAGCAGUUCCACUGGGUUUUACAUGUGUCAUUGAUCAAGCCCUAUUUCUAUAUUAUUGAUGUUUGCACCAGGGUGAUUGUCUAGAGUCUACAUCCCCAAUCACAUCCCCAUGGAACCAUGUGAUCAAGUAGUUGUUUUUCUUCUGUGUUUCUGCUCCCACAGUUCUUUCUCUGGAUGUGAAUAAGUCUUAAUUUAAUCAUAUAUUGAGAUUAGUUGAUUAUCCUUAACUGACUAAAUGUAUAUUAAUGUCUUAAUGUCAUUUAAUACUAAAGAAAUAGUCACUGCCUCUAUGGAAUCAGUUAAAAUGGAUAAUACUGAUAAGGAAUUAGCCUAGGGGUAAAACCUUUGAAUUAGAAGAGGCAGGGUCUACUAAUUUCUUAGGGAUAAGUUGUUUGUUUGUUUGUUUGUUUUUAAAAACCCUUACCUUCCUCAUCUUGGAGUCAAUUCUGGGUAUACUGUGUAUUGGCUCCCAGGCAGAAGAGUGGUAAGGGCUAGGCAGUGGGGGUUAAAAGACUUGCCCAGGGUCACACAUUUUGGAAGUGUCUGAGGCCAGAUUUGAACCUAGGAUCUCCAGUUUCUAGGUCUGACUCUCAAUCCACUGAGUCCCCCAGCUAGCCCCUUAGGGAUAAGUUUUAAGCUGUAUUUGAGGAGAAAUACUAGUAGUAAAAAAAAAGUAGUAAAUAAACUCUUUUGUGAUUUUUUUUGAAGGUCUGAUAAAUGUUUGUUUGCUAGCUACUCAUUGCAAGGACUUGAGAGUACUAAUAACAAUUGUGUCCAAUCCUUCUGGGGUUCUUGAGCUUCAGGCUUGUUGUGUCCUUGGGCCAAUGUUUCACUACUUCAAGGAAAAUGCCAGUGGCUAUGAAGUCUGAGAUCUGGGGCCAGUGGAGAUCUGUGUCUGAGAAAAAAGGUUGGGAGGGUCACCUUGGGAGGCAAAGCCCCUCCUGACUCAGUUUCUCCUAUAAGAAAUCUUCCCACCUGGUUAAUUCUGCAGCUGGUUGUGGUGUUCUGUCAUGCCCUUGGCUUGUACUGUUUUUACCUAAAAUCAAGUGGAACUGAGGAUUCUUUAUCCUAUUUAUAUGUGUUGUCAUUCUGGGCUUAGACCUAGAGGACCAGUAUUGAUGCUGCCCCUACUUUUUCCUCUCAUAGAAAAUCUUUCUAACCAAGGCAAGUUAAGCUGUGAUUUUUAUGAUGAAUCUGAUUGUUACAGUUUCAUAUUCUGAACAACUGAGUAAAUGAGUCUUUGGCCUUUUCAUUGGCCUGUUCAUAGUUAUUGAAAAAAAUUCUUUAACUUUUCAGAACAAUUAGACUAUGAUGUAAGUGUGGGACUGAAAUUUCAAGUUCAUCUUCAGGUGUCUGUUAGUUUGUUUGUUUUUUUAAACCCUUCCCUUCCCUCUUAGAAUCAAUAGUAUGUACUGGUUCCAAGACAGAAGAGAGGUAAGGGUUAGACAAUGGAGGUUCAGUGACUUGCCCAGGGUCACCCAGCUAAGAAGUGUCUGAGAUCAAAUUCGAACCCAGGACCUCUAGGUCUGACUCUAAAUCCACUGAGUUAUCCAGCUGCCCCCCUCCCGUUUUGUUUUAAUGAAAAAAAAUAUUAAUGUAAUCAGUUUUCAUAAAGGAGAAUAAGUUAUGGAAUGUCUUAUUGUUAUCGGCAGGAAGGAUACCCUUUGGGGUUCGGGAAGGAUGCCUUUUGCAAGCAUGCAAUGACUCCAAAACUUAGCUUAAAAACAAAGAGAUUUAUUAAUUUAGAAAGUAAUGUUGAGAGUGGCCAGGAGGAUAGCAAGGUGGAACAGCAAGAUGGGGAGCAGUUCCCUGGGAGGACAGCAUGAAAGGAAAGGCUGUUCCACCAUGGGGACAGCGUGGAUGGAGAGGCUGUUCCCCCAGACGACAUCAGUUCUGGGGAUUAUAUACUCUUUAAAACAGAGUUAGUCACUCAGCCAUGAGGUGGGGUGAUCAUACUAGGGUCUGCCUGGGGACAUAAAGAUUCCUUAGUUUUAGGGAACAAACAGAUGUCUGAUAGGAUCCAGGUGUGGCCUGAAGGUGCAUCUUUCUGUCCAUCUAGAGGACGAUCAAAGGAAGAUAGUCAUCUCAGGACCCUAGAGGGGUCAUUGGGUGUUUUUAGGCUCAGAGUCAGAAAAACAAGGGAGUUCCCCUGACAAUAGCUCGCCUGGGUUUCUGGGUUACAGUGCCCUGUCAUUAUGUUACCUCAAUGGAAAAGUCUUUUAUUUAGCUUUAUCAUUUUAUUUGGAAUUAACACCUUUUGGGAGCGUGUCCUGUGGUGCAAACAUGUUUUGUCCUUAAUAUAGUUACACAUCCCAUCUCAGGGCUUUUUGCUGCAAUUGAAAUAAUACUUGCAAAUUGUUGAGUGCUUCUUUAUUUAAACAAGAGUAUUAUGUUCUCUAGUCCUACUAAUAGGAGAAGGGAAUUAAAAUUAACAGGAAAUUUUGAGUUCUAAGUCGUAAAAUGGAGUAUAUGUUUUGAGAAAACAAGGUCAAAUGACUCCAUGUGUAAUUUAAAAGGUAUUUAGAAAUUUGAAAGGUUUUAGGGUUCUGCCUUCUGUGAUAUUCUAAAUGUUUAGCUUUUGACUUUUCAGUUUGUAGUUCAGUUUCUUUUUCUUUUUAAACCCUUACCUUCCAAGUUGGAAUCAAUAUUGUGUAUUGGCUCCAAGACAGAAGAGUGGUAAGGGCUAGGCAAUGGGGGUUAAGUGACUUGCCCAGGGUCACACAGCUAGGAAGUGUCUGAGGUCAGAUUUGAACCUAGGACCUCCUAUCUCCAGAACUGGCUCUCAAUCCAUUGAGCUACCCAGCUGCCCCUGUAGUUGAGUUUCUUAAAUAUGUCAGUGUAGCAGUUUGCUAACUUAUCUCAGAGGAAGUAGCCUGCUAUAUCAGGUACUGAAGAACCAGCUCCCAAACCCCUUCUUUCCCUUCCCUGACCCCAGGAGUUCCUGUUCACUCCCUCUACCACAAAAGGGUAUAAAAAGCCUGCAAGCCCUAGACUCAUGGCCAGCCAUUUUUAGAGUGCUGAGCCCAAACGGCAGUUUGUUUAAUAAACUCCCUCCUGUGUGUUACAUUGUUGGUCUUGUUUCAUCCUUGGGAUCAUUAACCAGGCACUUAAGUACAGGAUUCAGAAAAAAUACUGAAAUAGCAAGGGGUAUUAAGGCACUGAAAUUCUGUGAAGUUUCCAGUGAACUAGGGGCUCUUAAUCUAAUGUUCUUCUUGUAGUUCUAUUGUUAAUAUGAUCAGAACCACAGAGUUUGAGCUGUAAUAAUGAAUUAUUGGUAGGAAUUCAUUAUUGAUCAGGUCAAUCCUGUUUCUGAAACCUCCAAGUUUGCCCUUGUCCUGUAGGAAGGAACUUGCUUUGGGGGAAGUGCUAGACUGGCCUGAUCUCCAAACUGAGCAAUAGACCUAAAAGGACUUAAUGGCCUCAGUUUAGAUAAGAUUAAUCUUAGGUACCCUUCCUAUUUUAAAAGUUUAUUGCCAUGCCAUUAAGCAGAGACCCUUCCCUGAUAGUCCAGCCCUAGGCUGGAAACAUCUUUUUAUAACUAGAAUAAAGCAUAUGCCUCUUCCUGUUUGUCAAGAUCUGGGCUCCUCAUUUCCUUUUAUCUCCUGUAGAGCUAAUCAAUCACAUUUCCCAGCCCUUUGUUCCCCCAGAAGGUAUAUAAGAUCCCCAAGUUCUGUCAGUCUUUGGAGAAUCAUCUUUGGCGGUGCAUUCUCCCAGAGACACUGUUCCCAGAGUCUCAGAGCUUUGGCUGUUUGUGGUAUUUAGUGCUUGACUCUGUGUGGCCGACAGAUAUUAAGAACUUGUCUCUUAUCCAGAUUAAAGACUUGGUUUUUCAGGGGGCAGCUGGGUAGCUCAGUGAAUUGAGAGCCAGGCCUAGAAACAGGAGGUCCUGGGUUCCAAUCUGACCAAAGACACUUCCCAGCUGUAUGACCCUGGACAAGUCACUUAACCCCCCAUUGCCUAGCCCUUGACACUCUUCUGCCUUGGAACCAAUAUACGAUACUGAUUCUAAGACAGAAGGUAAAGGUUUAAAAAAAAACAAACUUGGUUUUUCUGACUAUUUUAGUGGUUCUCUGUUUUUCCAGGUUGACAAUAAUGAGCUCCAAUAAUUAAUGAAUUAUUGGAGAAAUAGAAUUUAGAGGUUUGUGCUAAAGUGUAUUGAUUUUAAUAAGAAUAUUAAAGGAUCUACAAACAAUAUGGAAGCAGAAAAGCAAAUCUAUUAUGGAAGAUCAACCCUUUCAGACCUCCAGACAGGCCAAGAGAAAUUGUUUCCAAAAGACCAAAUGGCUGUGGAGGACAAAUGGGAUUCAAGAUGAAUAUGCUCAGUAAUAUGGAUAUCAGGGGCAGAUUACCUUCCACCAAUUGGUGGAAAGCUUUCCAAGUGGGACUGAGCCUGAUUCCUGCCCCCUUUGGUGGAAUUGAUGGCCUUUUCUACCCAAGUUUCCUCCUUAGGCAAGUAUUCCAGGCCUUCCUGGGCACCCUCCAUAUCAUUUUCCUGUUUCUUCUUUCCAGAAAUUGCCUUGCAUGUUCAGCAAAACUUGGAACUAAGAUGAACACCGAACUCCUUGAUUCCUUCUUUGGUCAACGAUGGAAUUCAUCUUGACCAAAAAGAGUUGAAUGUAGCUAGCUGUGAGCCAUAAACUGCCCAAAGAGGAUAGAGAUGGUCCAAAGCAAUUAAAAACUGGCUCUAUUCGUUUUUUUAAGCCUGCUGAGCCCUUACCAGUUGAAGUUAAGUGUCUUGCCCAGGAUCCCAUAGUCAGGAAGUGUCUGAGGUCAGAUUUGAAACUAGGUCCUUCCAACUCCCUGUCCAAAGAACCACCUAAUUUCCCCUUAUUAUUUCUUUUGGACACUCCCUGUUGCUGACCACUUUUUUGAUCAAAUGUCACCAUUUCCCAGCCUUUGCCCAUUUUCAAAAAAAAUAGUAGCCUUUCCUCAAAUGUUACCCACCCCAGCCCUCACCAUUUCCUCCUCCAGUGUGUAUUUAAACUCUGCCCUUUCUGCCCAGUGUGGUCACUCCUACAACCCAGUGCUGUGCAAUGACUGCACCUUGAUUAAAAAUCCUCAUUGGAAUUCCAUGUGAACUGGAAUGACAUGAUGCAGAGUGAAAGGAGCAGAACCAGGAGAACAUUGUACACAGAGACACAUACAUUAUGGCACAAUUGAAUGUAAUGGACUUCUCUACUAGUAGCAAUACAAUGAUCAGAACAAUUCUGAGGAUCUUAUGAGAAAGGUGCUCUCCACACCCAGAGAAAGAACUGUGGGAGCAGAAACACAGAAGAAAAACACCUGCUUGGUCACAUGGGUCGAUGGGGAUAGGAUUGGGGAUGUAGACUCUAAGCGAUCACCCUGGUGCAAAUAUCAAUAAUACAGAAAUAGGUUUUGAUCAAUGACACGUGUUAAACCCAGGAGAAUUGUGUCUAGGCUAUAGG